AUUGAACGCUGGCGGCAGGCCUAACACAUGCAAGUCGAGCGAGCGGCGGACGGGUGCGUAAUGCCUAUGUAUCUGCCUGGUCGUGGGGGAUAACUACUGGAACCGGUAGCUAAUACCGAAUACCCUCGGCUGUGGCCAGAUGGGAAUAGCUUGUAGGUGGGGUAACGGCUAACCUAGGCGACGAUCCCUAGCUGGUCUGAGAGGAUGACCAGCCACACUGGAACUGAGAAACGGUCCAGACUCCUACGGGAGGCAGCAGUGGGGAAUAUUGGACAAUGGGCGCAAGCCUGAUGCAGCCAUGCCGCGUGGGUGAAGAAGGCCUUCGGGUUGUAAAGCACUUUCGUUGGGAAAGCGGUACCCAAAGAAGAAGCACCGGCUAACUUCGUGCCAGCAGCCGCGGUAAUAC
rnacentral:rRNA from 1 species